UACAGAGGGGGCAAGCGUUGUUCGGAAUUACUGGGCGUAAAGGGCGCGUAGGCGGCCUGUUAAGUCGAACGUGAAAUCCCCAGGCUCAACCUGGGAACUGCGUCCGAUACUGGCAGGCUUGAAUCCGGGAGAGGGAUGCGGAAUUCCAGGUGUAGCGGUGAAAUGCGUAGAUAUCUGGAGGAACACCGGUGGCGAAGGCGGCAUCCUGGACCGGCAUUGACGCUGAGGAGCGAAAGCUAGGGGAGCAAACGGG
rnacentral:rRNA from 1 species